AGGUAUUAGGUUGGUGCAAAACUAAUUGUAGUUUUACCAUUACUUUCAAUGGUAAAAACUGCAAUUACUUUUGCACCAACCUAAUAAUUA
rnacentral:miRNA from 1 species